rnacentral:rRNA from 1 species
AUUGGACGCUGGCGGCAGGCUUAACACAUGCGAGUCGAGCGGGGGAAGGUAGCUUGCUACCGGACCUAGCGGCGGACGGGUGAGUAAUGCUUAGGAAUCUGCCUAUUAGUGGGGGACAACAUCUCGAAAGGGAUGCUAAUACCGCAUACGUCCUACGGGAGAAAGCAGGGGAUCUUCGGACCUUGCGCUAAUAGAUGAGCCUAAGUCGGAUUAGCUAGUUGGUGGGGUAAAGGCCUACCAAGGCGACGAUCUGUAGCGGGUCUGAGAGGAUGAUCCGCCACACUGGGACUGAGACACGGCCCAGACUCCUACGGGAGGCAGCAGUGGGGAAUAUUGGACAAUGGGGGGAACCCUGAUCCAGCCAUGCCGCGUGUGUGAAGAAGGCCUUAUGGUUGUAAAGCACUUUAAGCGAGGAGGAGGCUACUUUAGUUAAUACCUAGAGAUAGUGGACGUUACUCGCAGAAUGAGCACCGGCUAACUCUGUGCCAGCCGCCGCAGUAA